UACGAGGGGGGCAAGCGUUGUUCGGAAUUAUUGGGCGUAAAGGGUGCGUAGGCGGUUUGGUAAGUCUGAUGUGAAAUCUAUGGGCUCAACUCAUAGUCUGCAUCGGAAACUGCCGGGCUUGAGUAUGGGAGAGGUGAGUGGAAUUCCUGGUGUAGCGGUGAAAUGCGUAGAUAUCAGGAGGAACACCUGUGGCGAAAGCGGCUCACUGGACCAUAACUGACGCCGAUGCACGAAAGCUAGGGGAGCAAACAGG
rnacentral:rRNA from 1 species